rnacentral:rRNA from 1 species
UACGGAGGGAGCUAGCGUUGUUCGGAAUUACUGGGCGUAAAGCGCACGUAGGCGGCUAUUCAAGUCAGAGGUGAAAGCCCGGGGCUCAACCCCGGAACUGCCUUUGAAAACUAGAUAGCUAGAAUCUUGGAGAGGUCAGUGGAAUUCCGAGUGUAGAGGUGAAAUUCGUAGAUAUUCGGAAGAACACCAGUGGCGAAGGGCGAACUGACUGGACAAGUAUUGACGCUGAGGUGCGAAAGCGUGGGGAGCAAACA